GACUUUUCUCUCCAGAAUGACUAUCCUCCAUUUCUAGGUCCCAAAUCACAACCAUGAAGUUGAUCUUAUGGUACUUGGUUGUGGCACUUUGGUGCUUCUGCAAAGAUGUGGAAGCCUUACUUUACCGACAAAAAUCAGAUGGUAAAAUAGCAGCAAGCAGAUCAGGUGGCUUCUCUUAUGGUAGUUCAUCCUCUGGUGACUUGGACAGAAAAAAGCCACUCUUUAGCUUGGAAUUUGGUUCUCCAGGAGAGACUGAAGACAAGCCCAGACAACGUCAGGAUGCUGGGAGUUCAAAGUCAGAAGACACCCCAGCAGGUGGCUUUUUUCACAGAAGUUCAUCCUCAGACAGGAAAAAGCCAUUCUUUAGCUUAGGACUUGGUGCUCCAGGAAAGGCUGAAGACAAGUCCGGAGACAGUCAGGAUGCUGGAAGUUCAAAGUCAGAAGACACCCCACCAGGUGGCUUUUUUAAUGGUAGUUCAUCCUCUGGUGACUCAGACCAAAAAAAGCCACUCUUUAGCUUUGAAUUUGGUGCUACAGGAGAGGAUGAAGACAAGUCCAGAGAACGCUGGGAUGCUGGGAAUUCAAGGUCAGAAGACAGCCCAGCAGAUAGCACCAACACAAGAUAUGGUGCUGACUUUAGUAGCAGUGGUGCCUCUCUGGAUGUGGGAUUUGGUUGGGGGAUAUCUGAUGAAAAGGGAUUGGAAGUCAGUAAAGCUGAUGGGAGAGAAACUAGAGGCAGUGGAUCUGCUGGGGGUGAAACCAUAGUCUUUGGACCUGAUGCAGGUAGCUCAGUUGGAACUGGUUCUUCUGGUUUGAAACUUGGAGCAGGGAAAGGUGAUGCUGCAUUUGGUUUUGAAGUUUCUGAUUCGAAUUCAUUUGGUGACACUGGCAUUAGUAGCAAAACAGUUGAAGGAACUCAAACGAGUAGUUCUGGAGGAUCUGUUUCCAUUGAUCUAUGUGAUACCAGUUUCAGAAGUGAGAAUCAAUUUGUUGGUGGUGGCUCUCUAAAUUCGAUAUCCAAUUUAUGGGAUUCUGGUCAAGAGGGAUUUGGAAUCAAUGAAAUUGGAGGGAAUGGAAUGAGUGGCAGUGUACCUGCUAAGGCUGGAUUCAAAGGUUUUGGAUCUGAUUCAAGUAGCUCAGGUGAUUCAAGUGCAAGAAAUGGGUUUGAAAAUUCUAGUGGUAUCUCUGAAGAUUCAGGAGUCAUAUUGGGGUCAUCUGAUCAACAUGAAGUUGAACUCAGUAGAACUGGUGGGAAUAGAAAGAGAAACAGUGAACCUGCUGAGGCUGGAAACUUGAGUCCUGGAUCUGAUGUCAGUGACUCAGGAGGAAACACUUGGUCUUCUGAUUCUGGAAGUGGUGGAGGAAGUGUCACAAGCUCGUCUGAAUAUAGUACGUCUGGACCACUCAGUACUCCAGAAAAAGGAUCCCACAUUCCAGAAGCAACUCCAAAAUACUCAGAAACAAAUGCAAUUAUUGGUGAAAUAUCUACCUGGAGCAAAGGAGCAUAUAAAUCUUUCAACGGCCGCAUCUUUUUCUUUGAAUCUUCAUGCCCGUACACUUUCUGCCGUCACUGCGUUGAAUCUGGAGGGGAUUUCAAUAUUGAGAUCAAACGAAACAAUGAUAGUGAGAUUGAAAAAAUAACAGUUCUAAUUGACAAUAACGACAUCUCUAUUUUUGGUGACACCAUUUUAGUUAAUGGAGAAAGAUACCAUAUAACAAUAAGUUGAUUCACAUAAAAAAAUAUGGAGAACAUAAUGUUCUGAAUAGCCGUAGAGGAAUCCUGACUUUAAUGUGGGACAAAAAUAACAAACUCUCACUCACUCUUCACAAGCAGUAUCCAACUUGUGGUCUUUGUGGUAACUUCAACAGCACUCCAGGGCAAGAUAUUAAUGAGCACAUUGCCAAUAGUAAAAUUCCUGGUGAUUGUCCCAAUGCUGUUGGAAAAAGCUAUGAAGUUUGUGAAGAUGGAAUACAGCACUGUAACAAAAUUAUUGGAACCUACUUUGAGAAAUGUGGAAAGGUUGCUGCUCUAUCCAAUGACUACAAAAUGAUCUGCAUUGAUGAAUACUGCCAAACUAGAGACAAAACAUCUACAUGUGACACUUAUUCAGAACUGUCCCGCCUCUGUGCCUCAGAUGGUCCUGGCACCUUUGAAUCCUGGCGAAGCGAUUCCGAUGUGGUUUGUGAAACACAAAGAUGUCCAGAACAACAUAUCUACAAAGAAUGUGGACCCUCCAACCCUGCAACUUGUUCUAAUGUGGCUCCUUUUCAAGACAGUGAAUGUGUGAGCGGCUGCACCUGCCCAGAAGGUUAUCUGUUGGAUGACAUUGGAGAGAAAGGAAAAUGUGUAUUAAAAGCUGAAUGUCCCUGUGAAUCCAGUGGAACAGUGUAUCCGCCAGGAGAAGUCCGAGAAGGUCCUUGUGGUUCUCAGUGCACAUGCCAAGAUGCAAAGUGGUCUUGCACCGAAGCAUUAUGCCCUGGAAGAUGUAAGGUGGAAGGAAGUUCCCUUACCACCUUUGAUGGUGUUAAGUACGACUUUCCUGGAAACUGCCACUUCCUGGCCAUUCACAAUGAAGAUUGGUCUAUUAGUGUUGAGCUCCGUCCGUGCCCAAGUGGUCAGACAGGAACGUGCUUAAAUAGCGUUACACUUCUCUUGAAUUCUUCUGUUCCAGUUGAUAAAUACAUAUUCAACAGUGAUGGAACAGUCACAAAUGACAAGAUUAGAAAUCAAGGUUAUUACUAUUCAGAUAAAAUACAGAUACUCAAUGCAUCUUCCUCAUACCUUCAAGUAGAAACAUACUUUCAUGUGAAACUACAAAUACAAAUUGUUCCUGUGAUGCAAUUGUAUGUUUCUAUGCCACCCAACCAAUUCACAGACACUGUGGGACUCUGUGGUUCCUACAACAACAAAGCAGAGGAUGAUUUCAUGUCAAGUCAGAAUAUAUUGGAGAAGACAUCUCAGGCAUUUGCUAACUCUUGGGAAAUGAUGUCCUGUCCUAAAGGAAACCCCUCUUCAUGUAUUAGUAUAGAAAAAGAAAAAUUUGCUGAAAGGCACUGUGGAAUUCUUCUUGAUUCAAGUGGGCCUUUUGCUUCCUGCCACCCAAUUGUGAACCCUAAACCCUAUCAUGAGGAAUGCAAAAAAUAUACUUGCACUUGUGAAAACAGUCAGGACUGCCUAUGUACAAUUUUAGGCAACUAUGUGAAAGCGUGUGCUGAGAAGGAAACAUACAUAGUGGGAUGGAGAACUGGCCUAUGUGAACAUUCUUGCCCAAGUGGCCUAGUGUUCAAGUACAAUGUAAAAGCCUGUAAUAGUUCUUGCCGAUCCUUGUCAGAAAGAGAUAGGAGCUGUGAUGUAGAAGAUGUUCCAGUUGAUGGAUGCACCUGCCCUGAUGAAAUGUACCAGAAUAAUGAAGGAAACUGUGUACUGAAAUCUCAGUGUGACUGUUACAUAAAUGACGAGGUCAUGCAACCAGGCAAACUCAUCCAUAUUGAUGACAAUAAAUGCGUCUGUCGGGAUGGAAUUCUUCUUUGCCAGAUUCCCAUUGAUUUAACCCUACAAAAUUGUUCUGGAGGGGCUGAGUAUGUAGACUGCAGUGAUCCCAAGGCACAGAGAAGAACCGACAGAACAUGCAGUACUCGGAACAUACCUGUUUUUGAUGAGAACUUGCCUUGCAAACGUGGGUGCUUUUGUCCAGAAGGAAUGGUUCGAAAUUCUAAAGGGAUAUGUGUUUUUCCUAAUGACUGUCCAUGCUCUUUUGGUGGACGAGAAUAUGAUGAAGGAAGUGUCACUUCUGUUGGCUGCAAUGAAUGUACCUGCAUUAAAGGGUCUUGGAGUUGUACCCAAAAUGAAUGUCAAACCAUCUGCCACAUCUAUGGGGAAGGUCAUGUUAGAACUUUUGAUGGGAAGAGUUACAGUUUUGAUGGUCUCUGCCAGUAUUCAUUUCUUGAGGAUUAUUGUGGUCAUGAAAAUGGCACAUUUCGUAUUUUAACGGAGAGUGUUCCAUGCUGUGAAGAUGGGCUAACGUGCUCAAGAAAAAUUAUAGUUGCUUUUCAGGAUCAGAAUAUUGUCUUGCAAGAUGGUAAAGUAACAGCAGUCAAAUCUACAGAAAGUAAGAAAUGUGAACUCAAUGCAAAUGCAUACUCCAUACAUACUGUUGGCCUGUACUUAAUUCUGAAAUUUCAAAAUGGAAUAAUCGUGAUUUGGGACAAAAAUACAAGACUGUCUGUUAUUCUGGAUCCAAACUGGAAUGGCAAAGUGUGUGGUCUUUGUGGAAAUAACAAUGGUGAUCUCAAGGAUGAUUUCACAACAAGAUACUCUUCAGUAGCUUCUGGAGCACUGGAAUUUGGGAAUAGUUGGAAAACAAGCCAAGAAUGUUCAGAUACAGUGGCUCAGACUUUCCCAUGUGAUUCAAACCCAUACUGUAAAGCCUGGGCUGUGCGGAAAUGUGAAAUCCUCAGAGACAGCACCUUCAGAGACUGCCACAACAAGGUAGCAUUGUUCUGACAGCAGUGACUUACACAGGGUUUCCACCCAGAGACUCAUGUGCUGUGCUCUGCCUAGGUUGACCCCAGUGCUUACUAUGAUGCAUGCAUUGAAGAAGCCUGUGCAUGUGACAUGGAGGGGAAGUACCUGGGAUUCUGCACUGCUGUGGCUAUGUACGCAGAGGCGUGUAGUGCAGUUGGAGUCUGUGUCUCAUGGAGAAAACCAAAUCUGUGUCCUGUCUACUGUGAUUACUACAAUGCGCCUGGGGAAUGCAGAUGGCAUUAUGAACCUUGUGGCACAGUGACUGCAAAAACAUGCAAAGAUCAGCUCGUUGGCCAGAAAUUUUCUUCACUUUUAGAAGGUUGUUAUGCUAAGUGCCCAGAUAGUGCUCCUUACCUGGAUGAGAACACCAUGAAAUGUGUCGGUUUAUCUGAGUGCAGCUGUUUCUAUAAUGAUGUCAUACCAGCAGGGGGAGUGAUUGAAGAUAAUUGUGGAAGAACAUGCUACUGUAUUGCAGGGCAGUUGGUGUGCAGUGAAACUGCUCCUACCAAUUCAACAUUUGCAGUUUCCACUACAACAGCUACCACCAUAUUAAGCACCGGAGCAGCAAUUACACUGGUUACCGGUGGCCCAAGCACAGCAGCAUCCAUUCCAGCAAUUACAACAUCAAGCAGUGAAACAACAGGAACAACUCUAGGUCCUCUCACCGAACCUUUUACUACAGGCAUUACUGAAACUUCAGCUCCCAUCAUCUCAACAUCUGGAAAUGCAGGCAUGACAGGAGUAGUGAGCUCCACCGUCACUGGUGCUUCAGGCAUGGCAGGAACAACUGGAGGAGUGGAUGCAGCCACCACUGGAGCUGCUAGUGAAAAUACAUCUGAGAGAGCAGGCACACCGAGGGUAUCUGGAGCAACCCCUGCAGUCGGAAGUGGCAGUACCCCUGGAGAAGCAGGCCCUGGAGCCACAGUUUCUGGAAGUACAGGAGUUUCUGCAGGCUCCACCACUGCCAGCCCUGGAGCCUCAGCCACAACCUCUGAAAGCAGCAAAUCAGGAACUACUGGACCCUCAGUGGGUGGAAAAACUGGAGCCACAAGCAGUGAAGCGACAUCAUCUGAAGGCAUGUCAGGUGUAACAGGACAGUCUCUUGGAUCUACUGCUGGAUCUGACAGUGAAAUCACAGCUAAAACAUCUUUCACUGGUUCCAGUCCACCUGGGAAACUCACCAGGCCAAGCCCGGGCUCACCUGGUCACUUUAGUGGUGGAACAACUGAAGGGGGAAAUGUAGCCACCACUGGAGCUGCUGGUGAAAACACUUCUGGAGCAUCAGGUUCAGCAGAAGGGUCUGUGGAAGCCACCACCAGCGCAGGCAGUGGAAACGCAGCUGGAACAUCAGGUACUGGGGACACUGGCCCUGGAAACACAGCAGUCUCAGGCACACCUGUGGUAUCACCUGGAGCAACUCCUGGAGCUCCAGGUAGCAGCACCCCUGGGGAAGCAGACAUUGGAACCACCAGUUUUGGAAAAUCAGGGACCCCAACAGUAUCUGCUGCCUCAACUACCAGUAGCCCUGUGAGUAAACACACCGAUGCAGCCUCAGCCACAGCAGUGACAAUCUCUGGAAGCAAACCAGGUACACCUGGAACACCAGGUGGUGCAACUAGUGGAGGCAAAAUUACAUCUGGAUGGUCCAGCAGUGGCGCCAGCACGGGCUCUUCAAAUACACCAGGGGCAACUGGAUCAUCGACCGGACAGACAGAGACAAGUGGACCAUCAGCUAAAGUAACAGGGAAUUAUGGACAAUCAUCUGAAAUACCAGGGACAAUUAAAUCAUCAUCUGAUGUUUCAGGGACAAUGGGGCAAUCAGAUGCAACAUCUGGACCAUCAGUUGCAGUGACAAGCACUUCUGAACAAUCGUCAGGAGUCACGGUGGCAUCUGAACCAUCAGUUGGAGUAUCAGGGACAACUGGACCAUCAGCUGAAAUAUCAGGGACAACCAGACCAUUAGUUUCAGGGUUAAGGACAACUGGAUCAUCAGCUGAAGGAUCAGGGACAACUGGACCUUCAUCAAGAGAAUCAGUGACAACUAGACCAUUAGCUGAAGGUUCAGGGACAAGUGGACAAUCGGUUACAGGAUCAAGAGCAACUGGAUUAUCAGCUACAGAAUUAGGGACAACUGUAUCUUUUACUGGAGGAUUGGGUACAAGUAGAUCAUCUGCUAGAGAAACACGGACAACUGGACCAUCAGCUGAUGGGUCCGGAACAACUGGACCAUCUGUUGUGAGAUCAGGGACAACUAGAUUAUCAGUUGGAGUGACAAGAGCAACUGAAUCAUCACCUGGAGUGACAGGAACAACUACACCAUCAGCUGAAAAAUCCAGGACAACAGGACCAUCUGUUCUAGUGACAGGAACAACUGGACAAUCAGGCCAAGGAUCAGGGACAACUGGAAAAUCUUUUAUAGAAUCAGGACCAUCUGUUGUAGGAUCAGGGACAACUGGACCAACAUCUGCAGGAUUAGGAACAACUGUACCAUCAACCAGAAGAUCAAGCACAACAAAACCAUCAGUUGGAAGAACUGGGACAACUGGACAAUCAGGUGCAGAAUCAGGAACAACUGAACCAUCAGCUAGAGUGACAGAUGUAACUGGAACAUCAGCUGAAGUAUCAGGAAGAAUUGAACCAUCAGCUACAGAAUCAGGUACAAGUAGACCACUAGGUGAAACAACAGGGACAACUAUACCAUCAACGGAAGGAUCAGAGGCAACUGGACCAUCUGUCAUUGGAUCAGAAACAACUAGACUAUCAGUUAUAGGAUCAGGGACAACUGGAACUUCAUCUGGAGGUUCAGGUGCAACAAGAUCAUCAGGUGGAGGAAUGGGGACAACUGGACAAUCAACUGCAAGAUCAGAAACAACUGGACCACUUUUUGGAUGGACAGGAACAUUUGGGCAAUCUGCUACAGUGACUGAGACAUCUUCAAAUUCAGCUGGAGUGACAACAUCUGAAAAAUCACCUGGAGUGGCAAUGACAACAGGACUGUUGGUUGAAGGAUCAGCUACAACUCAACCACGUAUUUUAGAAUCAGAAACAACUGAAUCAUCAGCUGGAGUGAUAGUGACAUCUGGACAAUCAGCCAGAGUGACUGGGGCAACUGGACCAUCAGCUGGAGAGACAGGAACAACUGAACCAUCAACUGAAGGAUCAGUUGCAACUGUAUUAUUUGUUAUUGGAUCAGAAACAACUAGACCAUUAGAUAUAGGAUCAAGGACAACUGGAACUUUAUCUGGAGGUUCAAGUACAACAAGAUCAUCAGAUGGAACAACAGGGACAACCAGAAAAUCAACUGCAAGAUCAGAAACAACUGGACCACUUUCUGGAUUGACGGGAACAUCUGGGCAAUUGGCUGGAGUGACUGGGACAUCUUCAAAAUCAGCUGGAGUAACAGUGACAUCUGAAAAAUCAGCUGGAGUUGCAGUGACAAUAGGAUCAUUUGUUGAAAGACCAGUCACAACUGGACCACCUCUUUUAGAAUCAGAGACAACUAGACCAUCAGGUGGAGUAACAGUGACAUCUGGACAAUCAGCCAGAGUGACUGAAACAGUUGGAGCAUCAGCUGGAGUGAUAGGAACAACUGGACCAUCAACUGAAGGAUCAGGGGCAACUGGACCAUCUGUUGUGGGAUCAGGAACAACUAGACCAUUAGCUGGUGAAUCAGGUACAACUGAGUCAUCAGCUGGAGUGACAGGGACAAGGCCAUCAUCAUCAAGAGAAUCAGCAACAACUGGACCAUCAGAUGAAGGAUCAGGAACAACUGGACUAUCCGCUGGAGUGGCAGUGACAUCUGGACAAUCAGUUAGAAAGACUGGGACAACUGGAGCACCAGCUGGAGUUACAGAAACAACAAGACCAUCUGUUGUCAAAUCAGGGACAACUGGACCAUCUGUUAUAGGAACAAGGACAACUGGAACUUCAUCAGGAGGAUCAGGUGCAACAAGAUCAUCAGGUGGAGAAACAGAGACAACUGGCCAAUCAGCUGUAAAAUCAGGGACAACAGAAUCAUUUACUAGGUUUACAAGAACAUCUGGGCAAUCAGCUGGAAUGACUGGGACAUCUGCACAAUCAGCUGGAGUGGCACUAACAAGUCCUUUUGUUGAAGGAUUAGUGACAACUGGAUCAUCUACUGUAGGAUUAGAGACAACUAGAUCUUCAGCUGUAGGAUCAGGAACAACUGGACCUCCUGUUGUAAAAGCACAGACAACUGGACCAUCAGCUGGAGUGACAGUGACAUCCAGACAAUCAGCUAGAAUGACUGGGGCAAGUGGACCAUCAGUAGGAGUGACAGGAACAACUGGACCAGCAAGUAAAGGAUUAGGGACAAUUAGACCAUCUGUUGUAGGAUUAGAGACUACUGAACUAUCAGCUGAAGAAUCAGGGACAACUGGACCACCUAUUGUAGGAGAGACAACUGUACCAUCAGCUGGAGUGACAGUUACAUCUGGAUACUCAGAUAGAGUGACUGGGGCAACUGAACCAUUGGCUGGAGUAACAGGAACCAUUAAACCAUCUGUUGCAGGAUCAGUGACAACUGGACCAUCUGUUACAGGAGUAGAGACAACUGCAAAAACUUCAUCUGGAGGAUUAAGUACAACUAUAUCGUCAGUUGGAGGAACAGGGACCACUGGACAAUCACCUGAAAGAUCAGGGACAAUAGGACCAUUUACUGGAUUGACAGGGACAUCUGCACAAUCAGCUGGAGUGACAAUGACAUCUAUCCAAUCAGCUGGAGUGCUAGUAACAACAGGACUAAAUGUUGAUGGCUUAGGGACAACUGGAAAAGCUCUUAUAGGAUCAGGAACAACUGGAUUAUCAGCUGAAGCUACAGGGACAAUUGGACCAUCAACUGAAGGAUUAGAGAAAACUGGACCAUCUAUUACUGGAUCAGGAACAACCAGACCAUUAGUUACAGAAUCAUGGACAGCUGGAACUUCAUCUGGAGGACAUAGUACAACAAGUCCAUCAGUUAGAGGAACAGAGACAACUGGACAAUCAGCUGCAGAAUCAGUGACAACAGGGCCAGUUACGGGAUACACAGAAACCUCUGGUCCAUCAGCUGGAGUGACAGUGACACCUCGGCAAUCACCUACAGUGACUCAGACAACUGGAUCAUCAGCUGCAAUAUCAGGGACAACUGUACAAUCUCUUACAGUAUCAGGGACCACUAGACCAUCAUCUGGACAAACAGAAAUAACUGGAUCAUCAGUUAAAGAAUCAGGGACAACUGAAUCAUCAGCUGUAAGGUCAGGGACUACUGGACCAACAGCUGGAGUGACAGGUACAAAUGGACCAUCAUCAGCUGGAGCGACAGGGAUAACUGGAUCAUCAGCUGGAGUGACAGGGACAACUGGAUCAUCACCUGGAGUGACAGGGACAACUGGAUCAUCUGCAAGAUCAGGGACAAGUAUACCAUCAGUUGGAAAAACAGGAACAACUAGAACAUCAGUUGAAGAAUCAAGGACAACUAGACCAUCAGCAGGAAUAACAGGUACAAAUGGACUAUCAGCUGAAGUGACAGGGACAACUGGACCAUUAGCUGGAGUGACAGGGACAACUGGACCAUCAGCUGGAGUGACAAGGACAACUGGACUGUCAGCUGGAGAGACAGGGACAACUGGACUAUCACCUGGAGUGACAGGGACAACAAGAUCAUCAGCUGGGCUAACAGGGAAAACAGGAAUAUCAGCUGGGGUGACAGGGAAAACUAGACUGUCAGCUGAAGUGACAGGGACAACUACACUAUCAGCUGGAGUGACAGGGACAACUGGACCAUCACCUGGAGUAACAGGUACAACUGGAACACCAGCUGGGGUUACAGGGACAACUGAACUGUCAGCUGGAGUGACAGGGAAAACUAGAUCAUCAGCUGGAGUGACAGGGACAACAGGACUAUCAUCUGAAGUGACAGAAACAACCGGAUUAUCAUAUGGGGUGAAAGGGACAACUGGACUAUCAGCUGGGGCGACAGGGACAAUUGGAUCAUCAGCUGGAGUGGCAGGGACAACAAGACUAUCAGCUGGAGUGACAGGGACAAGUGGACAAUCAGCUGGAGUGGCAGGGACAACUACACUAUCAGCUGAAGUGACAGGGACAACUAGACCAUCAGCUGGGGUAACAGGGACAACAGGACUAUCAGCUGAAGUGACAGAGAUAACUGGAAUAUCAGCUGUGGUGACAGGGACAACUGGACCAUCAGCUGGGGUGACAGAGACAACUGGAUCAUCAGCUGGAGUGGCAGGGACAACAAGACUAUCAGCUGGAGUGACAGGGAUAACUGAACUAUCAGCUGGAGUGACAGGGACAACUGGACUGUCAACUGAAGUGACAGGGACAACUGGACCAUCAGCUGGGGCGACAGGGACAACUGGACUAUCAGUUGGAGUGACUGGGAUAACUGGGCUAUCAGAUGUAGUGACAGAGACAACUGGAUCAUCUGCAAGAUCAGGGACAGGUAUACCAUCAGUUGGAGAAACAAGAACAACUAGCACAUCAGUUGAAGAAUCAAGGACAACUAGACCAUCAGCUGGAAUAACGGGUACAAAUGGACUACCAGCUGAAGUGACAGGGACAACUGAACCAUUAGCUGGAGGGACAGGGACAACUGGAAUAUUAGCUGGGGUGACAGGGACAACUGGACUAUCAGCUGGGGAGACAGGGAAAACUGGAUCAUCAGCUGGGGAGACAGGGAAAACUGGAUCAUCAGCAAGAGUGACAGGAAAAACUGGACCAUCAGCAGAAGUAACAGGGAAAACUGGACUAUCAGCUGGAGUGACGGGGACAACUGGACUAUCACCUGGAGUGACAGGGACAAGUGGAAUAUCAGCUGAAGUGACAGGGACAACUGGCCCAUCAGCUGAAGCUACAGGGCUACCUGGAGUAUCAGCUGGGGUGACAGGGACAAUUGGAUCACUAGCUGGAGGGACAGGGACAAUUGGACUAUCAGCUGGGGUGACAGGGACAAUUGGAUCAUCAGCUGAGGUGACAGGGACAACUGGACUAUCAGCUGGGGUGACAGGGAUAGCUGGACUCUCAGCUGGGGUGACAGGGAUAACUGGACCAUCAGCUGGAGUGACAGGGACAACUACAGUAUCAGCUGGAGUAACAGGGACAACUGGACUAUCAGCUGAAGCAACAGAGAUAACUGGACUAUCAGCUGGGGUGACAGGGACAACUGGACUAUCUGCUGGGGUGACAGAGACAAUUAGACUAUCAGCUGAGGUGACAGGGACAAUUAGAUCAUCAGCUGGGGUAACAGGGGUAACUGGACUAUCAGCUGGAGUGACAGGGACACCUGGACCAUCAGCUGGUGUGACAGGGUCAACUGGACUAUUAGCUGGGGUGACAGAGACAACUGGACAGUCAGCUAAAGUGACAGGGACAACUGGACAAUCUAUUGGAGUGACAGGGACAACUAGAUCAUCAGGUGGAGUGACAGGGAUAACUGGACUAUCAGCUGGAGUGACAGGGACAAAUGGACUAUCAGCUGUGGUGACAGGGAUGACUGGACUAUCAGCUGAGGUGACAGGGACAACUGGACUAUCAGUUGGGGUGACAGGGAUAGCUGGACUCUCAGCUGGGGUGACAGGGAUAACUGGACCAUCAGCUGGAAUAACAGGGACAACUACCAUAUCAGCUGGAGUAACAGGGACAACUGGACUAUCAGCUGAAGCAACAGGGAUAACUGGACUAUCGGCUGGGGUGACAGGGAAAACUGGACCAUCUGCUGGAGUGACAGAGACAAUUGGACUAUCAGCUGAAGCAACAGGGACAAUUGGGUCAUCAGCUGGGGUGACAGGGACAACUGGAUCAUUAACUGGGGUGACAGGGAUAACUGGAUUAUCAGCUGGAGUGACAGGGACAACUGGAUUGUCAACUGAAGUGACAGGAACAACUGGACCAUCAGCUGGGGUGACAAGGACUACUGGACUAUCAGCUGGAGUGACUGGGAUAACUGGGCUAUCAGCUAUAGUGACAGAGACAAUUGGAUCAUCCGCAAGAUUAGGGACAAGUAUCCCAUCAGUUGGAGAAACAGGAACAACUAGGACAUCAGUUGAAGAAUUAAGGACAACUAGACCAUCAGCUGGAAUAAUGGGUACGAAUGGACUAUCAACUGAAGUGACAGGGACAAUUGGACCAUUAGCUGGAGGGACAGGGACAACUGUACUAUCAGCUGGGGUGACAGGAACAAUUGGAUCAUCAGCUGUGGUGACAGGGACAACUGGACUAUCAGCUGGAGUCACAGGGACAACUGGACCAUCAGCUGAAGAGACAGGGGCAACUGGACCAUCAGCCAAAGUGACAGGGACAACUGGACCAUCAGCUGGGGUGACAGGGACAGGUAGACUAUCAGCUGAAGUGACAGGGACAACUGGACCAUCCGCUGGGGUGACAGGGACAGGUAGACUAUCAGCUGAAGUGACAGGGACAACUGGCCCAUCAGCUGAAGUGACAGGGCUAUCUGGAGAAUCAGCUGGGGUGACAGGGACAAUUGGAUCACCAGCUGGAGUGACAGGGACAACUCAGCUAUCAGCUGUGGUGACAGGGAUAAGUGGACUAUCAGCUGAGGUGACAGGGACAACUGGACUAUCAGCUGGGGUGACAGGGAUAACUGGACUAUCAGCUGAGGUGACAAGGACAACUGGACUAUCAGCUGGGGUGACAGGGACAAUUGGACUAUCAGCUGGGGUGACAGGGACAACCAGACCAUCAGCUGGAGUGACAGGGACAACUGGGCAAUCAGCUGAAGUGACAGGGACAACCGAACCAUCAGCUGGAUUGACAGAGACAACUGGAUCAUCAACUGGGGUGACAGGGGCAACUGGACCAUUAGCUGGAGUGACAGGGACAACUGGAAUAUCAACUGAAGUGACAGGGACAACUGGACCAUCAGCUGGGGUGACAGGGACAACUGGACUAUCAGCUGGAGUGACUGGGAUAACUGGGCUAUCAGCUAUAGUGACAGAGACAAUUGGACUAUCAGCUGGAGUGACACGGACAAUUGGAUCAUCAGCUGUGGUGACAGGUACAAAUGGACUAUCAGCUGAAGCGACAGGGACAACUGGACUAUCAGCUGUGCUGUCAAGGACAACUGGGCCCUCAGCUGUGGUGACAGAGACAACUGGAUCAACUGGGGUGACAAGCAUAACUGGACUAUCAGCUGGAGUGACAGGGACAACUGGACUGUCGGCUGAAGUGACAGGGACAACUGGACCAUUAGCUGGAGUGACAGGGACAACUGGAUUAUCAGCUGGGGUGACAGGGACAACUGGACUAUCAGCUAGGGUGACAGAGAGUACUGGAGUAUCAGCUGGGGUGACAGGGACAACUGGACUAUCAGCUGAAGUGACAGGUAUAAAUGGACUAUCAGCAGGAGUGACAGGGACCACUGGACCAUCAGCUGAAGAGACAGGGGCAACUGGACCAUCAGCUGAAGUGACAGGGACAACUGGAACAUCAGCUGAAGAGACAGGGGCAACUGGACCAUCAGCUGAAGUCACAGGGACAACUGGACCAUCAGCUGAAGUCACAGGGACAACUGGACCAUCAGGUGGAGUGACAGGGACAAAUGGACUAUCAGCUGAAGUGACAGCAACAACUGGCCCAUCAGCUGAAGUGACAGGGCUACCUGGAGUAUCAGCUGGGGUGACAGGGACAAUUGGAUCACCAGCUGCAGUGACAGGGACAAUUCGGCCAUCAGCUGUGGUGACAGGGAUAACUGGACUACCAGCUGAGGUGACAGGGACAACUGGACUAUCAGCUGGGGUGACAGGGAUAGCUGGACUCUCAGCUGGGGUGACAGAGGCAAUUGGAUCAUCAGCUGGGCUGACAGGUACAAAUGGACUAUCAGCUGAAGCAACAGGGACAACUGGACCAUCAGCUGGAGUGACAGGGACAACUGGACUAUCAGCUGGGGUGACAGGGACAAUUGGAUCAUCAGCUGUGGUGACAGGGACAACUGGACUGUCAGCAGGAGUGACAGGGACAACUGUACCAUCAGCUGGAAUAACAGGUACAAAUGGACUAUCAGCUGAAGUUACAGGGACAACUGGACCAUUAGCUGGAGUGACAGGGACAACUGGACUAUCAGCUGGGGUGACAGGGAUAGCUGGGCUCUCAGCUGGGGUAACAGAGAGUACUGGACUAUCAGCUGGGAUGACAGGGACAAUUGGAUCAUCAGCUGUGGUGACAGGUAUAAAUGGACUAUCAGCAGGAGUGACAGGGACCACUGGACCAUCAGCUGAAGAGACAGGGGCAACUGGGCCAUCAGCUGAAGUCACAGGGACAACUGGACCAUCAGGUGGAGUGACAGGGACAAGUGGAAUAUCAGCUGAAGUGACAGGAACAACUGGCCCAUCAGCUGAAGUGACAGGGCUACCUGGAGUAUCAGCUGGGGUGACAGGGACAAUUGGGUCACCAGCUGCAGUGACAGGGACAACUCGGCCAUCAGCUGUGGUGACAAGGAUAACUGGACUAUCAGCUGAUGUGACAGGGACAACUGGACUAUCAGCUGGGGUGACAGAGACAAUUGGAUCAUCAGCUGGGGUGACAGGUACAAAUGGACUAUCAGCUGAAGCAACAGAGACAACCGGACCAUCAGCUGGAGUGACAGGGACAACUGGACUAUCAGCUGGGGUGACAGGGACAACUGGACUAUCAGCUGGGGUGACAGGGAGAAUUAGAUCAUCAGCUGUGGUGACAGGGACAACUGGACUAUCAGCUGGAGUGACAGGGACAACUGGACCAUCAGCUGGAAUAACAGGUACAAAUGGACUAUCAGCUGCGGUGACAGGGACAACUGGACUAUCAGCUAGGGUGACAGAGAGUACUGGACUAUCAGCUGGGGUGACAGGGACAAUUGGAUCAUCAGCUGUGGUGACAGAGACAACUAGACUUUCAGCUGGAGUCACAGGGACAAUUGGACCAUCAGCUGAAGAGACAGGGGCAACUGGACUAUCAGCAGAAGUGACAGGGACAACUGGGCUAUCAGCUGGGGUGACAGGGACAAUUGGAUCAUCAGCUGCGGUGACAGGGACAACUGGACUAUCAGCUGGAAUAACAGGUACAAAUGGACUAUCAGCUGAAGUGACAGGGACAGCUGGACCAUUAGCUGGAGUGACAGGGACAACUGGACUAUCAGCUGGGGUGACAGGGACAACUGGACCAUUAGCUGGAGUGACAGGGACAACUGGCCUAUCAGCUGGGGUGACAGGGACAACUGGACUAUCAGCUGGGGUGACAGAGACAACUGGACAAUCAGCUGGGGUGACAGAGAGUACUGGACUAUCAGCUGGGGUGAUAGGGACAAUUGGAUCAUCGGCUGUGGUGACAGGGAUAAAUGGACUAUUAGCAGGAGUGACAGUGACAACUGGACCAUCAGCUGAAGAGACAGGGGCAACUGGACCAUCAGCUGAAGUCACAGGGACAACUGGACCAUCAGUUGGAGUGACAGGGACAAGUGGACUAUCAGUUGAAGUGACAGGAACAACUGGCCCAUCAGCUGAAGUGACAGGGCUACCCGGAGUAUCAGCUGGGGUGACAGGGACAAUUGGAUCAACAGCUGCAGUGAGAGGGGCAACUCGGCCAUCAGCUGUGGUGACAGAGAUAAGUGGACUAUCAGCUGAGGUGACAGGGACAACUGGACUAUCAGCUGGGGUGACAGGGAUAGCUGGACUCUCAGCUGGGGUGACAGACACAAUUGGAUCAUCAGCUGGGGUGACAGGUACAAAUGGACUAUCAGCUGAAGCAACAGGGACAACUGGACCAUCAGCUGGAGUGACAGGGACAACUGGACUAUCAGCUGGGGUGACAGGGACACCUGGACUAUCUGCUGGGGUGACAGAGACAAUUGGACUAUCAGCUGGGGUGACAGGGACUAUUGGAUCAUCAGCUGGAGUGACAGGGACAACUGGACCAUCAGCUGCUGUGACUGGGUCAGCUGGACUAUCAACUGGGGUGACAGGGACAACUGGACAGUCAGCUGAAGUGACAGGGGCAACUGGACAAUCUGUUGGAGUGACAGGGACAACUAGAUCAUCAGGUGGAGUGACAGGGAUAACUGGACUAUCAGCAGGAUUGAGAGGGACAACUGUUUCAUCUGCAAAAUUAGGGACAAAUAUACCAUUAACUGGAAAAACAGGAACAACUAGAACAUCAGUUGAAGAAUCAACGACAACUGGACCAUCAGCUGGAAUAACAGGUACAAAUGGACUAUCAGCUGAAACGACAGGGACAAAUGAACUAUCAGCUGGGGUGACAGGGACAAUUGGAUCAUCAGCUGGAGUGACAGGGACAACUGGACUGUCAGUUGAAGCAACAGUGAGAACUGGACUAUCAGCUGGAGUGACAGGGACAACUGUCCCAUUGGCUGGGGUAACAGGGACAACCGAACCAUCCGCUGGAGUGACAGGAAUAGCUGCACUAUCUGCUGGAGUGACAGGGAAAACUGGACUAUCAGCUGGAGUGACAGGGAAAACAGGACUAUCAGCUGGAGUGACAGGGACAACUGGACCGUCAGCUGAAGCAACAGGGAAAACUGGACUAUCAGCUGGAGUGACAGGGAUCACUGGACCAUUUGCUGAAGUGACAGGGACAACUGGAUUAUCAGCUGGGGUGACAGGGACCACUGGAUCAUCAGCUGAAGUGACAGGAAUAACUGGACUAUCAGCUGGGGUGACAGGGAAAACUAGAUCAUCAGCUGGGGUAACAGGGACAACUGGAUUAUCUGCAAAAUCUGGGACAAGUAUACCAUCAGCUGCAAAACCAGGAACAACCAAAACAUCAGUUGAAGAAUCAAGGACAACUAGACCAUCAGCUGGAAUAACAGGUACAAAUGGACUAUCAGCUCGAGUGACAGGGACAACUGGACCAUCAGUUUGCACAACCACUGUAAUAGGAAGAACUACAGGAGCUACAACUGGAGUGCCUGCUGCAACUUCCCCAGGAGCUGAAGGUGAAAGCAUAGCUUCCACGUCAGUUGCCACGGGAGCCAUCCCUCGGUCAACAAUUGCACCAGGAAGUACCACUACUGGUACCACUGGGGUAACCACUGGCACAACUCUUGCCCCUAGAAGUUUCAACAUAGGAACUUCUGGUGGAAUUUCUGGGAAAACCCUCAAACCUGGAAGUUAUGUCUCAGAGGCUACAACUGCUACAGGGACUCCUGGAGCAGGACCGUCAGGAGGCACCACUAUCAUUUCUCCUGAAGUCAGUACCAUUUCAGAAGUUUCCAACACAGGUAUCACUGGAGUAGGCUCUGAGACAUCUGUUGAAACAGGAAUUUCCAACACAGCUACGACUGGGGUGGCUCCUGGCACAACCCUUGCCCCUGGCAGUUCCAGUACAGAGGCCACAACUUCCAUAGGAGGAAGUGCAUCAACAAGAGGAGGAAUAGCCACAGAAGCCACAGGUUCCACAAGAAGGGUCAGGACCACUGGAUCAGAAGCUCCAGAAGGUACUUCUGGAGAAUUCUCUGGGACAACCAUUUCAUCUGGAGGCUUCCACACAGAAGCCACAACUCUCACAGGAGGUAGGGGCAGUAUUGGAACUGAAUCCAGAGCAGAGUCCACAACUUCCCUACAAGAAAGUGCAAAAACAAGAGGUGGAAUACUGACAGAGGCCACAAGUUCCACAGGAAGGAUCAGGGCGACCGGAUCAGAAGCUCCAGGAGGUACCUCCGGUAAAUUCUCUGGGACAACCAUUUCAUCUGGAGGUUCCCACACAGAGGCCACAACUCUCGCAGGUGGCAGGGACAGCACUGAAAGUGAAUUCAGAACAGCCACCACUAGGGCAGCUCCUGGCACAACUCUUGUCCCUGGCAGUUCCAAUACAGGGGCCACAGCUUCCCCAGGUGGAAGUGCAACGACAAGAGGUAGAAUAACCACCGCUACCACUGGGGCUUUCUCUGGAAAGACUCUGGAAUCUGAGAAUGACAACACAGACAAGCCACAAGUUCCACCAGAGGGGUCAGGACCACCGUGUCAGAAGCUCCAGGAGGUACUUCUGGUGAAUUCCCUGGGACAAGAAUUACAUCUGGAGGUUCCUACACAGCCACCACCAGGGCAGCUCCUGGCACAACUCUUGCCCCUGGCAGUUCCAACACGGGGGCCACAGCUUCCCUAGGUGGAAGUGCAUUGACAAGAGGUAGAAUAACCACCGCUACCACUGGGGCUUUCUCUGGAAAGACUCUGGAACCUGGGAACAACAACACAGAGGCCACAAGUUCCACCAGAGGGAUCAGGACCACCAGAUCAGAAGCUCCAGGAGAGGCCACAACUCUCACAGGAGACAGGAGCAGUACCGGAAGUGAAUCCAGAACAGCCACCACUGGAGUAGCUCCUGGCACAACUGUUGCCCCUGGCAGUUCCAAGACAGAGGCCACCACUUUCCUAGGAGUAAGUGGAACAACAAGCAUUGGAAGAGCCACGGGUGCCGCAACUUCCAUAGUAGGGAGUGACACCAGCCAAGCAGAACGUCCAGGAGGUACAACUGUGGUUUCACCUGGAGCCAGCAGCAGUUCACAGAGCUCCAGGCCAGGCACCUCUGUCACACCAGAGAGUUCAGCAUCUGAAAGUGAAACAGUUACUACAAAAGAAUUAUCUAGGACAACUGCUAUAUCUAAAACUUCCCACACCAGCACCCCUGCAGCCUCAGGAGGCCAAGCAACUGGGAGCCUGACAGCCACCACUGGGGUAGCUCCUGGCACAACUGUUGCACCUGGCAAUUCCAACACAGAGGCCACAACUUCUGUAGGAGAAAGAGAAACAACAAAAGCUGAAAUAAUCACAGGUGACACUGGAGAAUUAUCUGGAACAACCAUUAUAUCUGAAAAUUCCACCACAGCAGGCAUCACUGCAGCAACAGGGAAGCAAGCAGGCACCUCGGAGUUAGCUCCUGCCACAACAGUUGCCCCAGGAAGUUUCAGCACAGCAGCCACAACUUCUCCUGGAGCAAGUGGAAUGACUGGGGUUACAACAACUACAAAGACCACAACUUCCCUAGGAGGAAGUGGCACCACUGGAGCAGAAAUAAAAUCAGCCACCACUGGAGCACCAGGAAGUAGGACAGGCACAACUGGAGUGCCCUCUGCUACAACAGUCUCCCCUGGGAGCUCCAACUCAGAGGCCACAACUUCUGUAGGAGAAAGUGGAAAAACAGGAGCUGAAACAAUCACAGAGGCCACCACUUCCACAGAACGGACUGGUACUUCUGGAACUGGAUUCAAAACUGGCACCUCAGAGGUAGCUCCUGCCACAACAGUUGCCCCAGGAAGUUUCAGCACAGCAGCCACAACUUCUCCUGGAGCAAGUGGAAUGACUGGGGUUGCAACAACUACAAAGACCACAACUUCCCUAGGAGGAAGUGGCACCACUGGAGCAGAAAUAAAAUUAGUAGGAACCACCACUACAGCACCAGAAAGUAGGACAGCUGGAGUGCCCUCUGGCACAAGAGUCACCCCUGGGAGCUCCAACUCAGAGGCCACAACUUCUGUAGAAGAAAGCAGAAUAACAAGAGCUGAAGUAAUCACAGAGGCCACAACUUUCUCAGGAGGCAGCGGGGCCACCCAAGCAGGAUUACCCAGAGGUACCACUGGAGAAUUUUCUGGAACGACCAUUAUAUCUGGAAGUUCUAACACAGAGGCCACCACUUCCACAGAAGGGACAGGUACUUCUGGAACUGGAUUCAAAAUUGCAGGCAUCACUUCUGCCCCAGGGAAACAAGCAGGCACCUCUGGGGUAUCUCUUGCCACAACAGUUGCCCCUGGAAGUUUCAGCACAGCCACAACUUCUUCUGGAGCAAGUGGAAUAACUGGGGCUGGCCCCACCUCAGAGACCAAAACUUCCCUAGGAGGAAGUGGUACCACUGGAGCAGAAAUAAAAUCAGCUGCAGUGCCCUCUGGUACAACAGUUGCCCCUGGGAGCUCCAACUCAGAAGCCACAACUUCUGUAGGAGAAAAUGGAAAAACAAGAGGUGAAAUAAUCACAGGUACUACCGAGGGCACCUCUGGCAAAGUUCUGGAACCUGGAAGUGCCCACACAGAGGCCACAACUUUCCCAGGAGGCAGUGGGAUUACCCGAGCAGGACCGCCAGGAGGUACCACUGGAGAAUUGUCUAGAACAACCAUUAUACCUGGAAGUUCUAACACAGAGGCCACGACUUCCACAAAAGGGACUGGUACUUCUGGAACUGGCUUCAAAACUGGCACCUCUCGGGUGGCACCUGGCACAACAGUUUCCCCUGGAAGUUUCAGCACAGCCACAAUUUCCCCUGGAGCAAGUAGAACGACUGGGGCUGGACCUGCUGCAGAAACCACAACUUCCCUAGAAGGAGGUGGCACCACUGGAGCAGAAAUGAAAUCAGGAGCCACCUCCAGAGUACCGGGAAGUAACACAGGCACAGCUGGAGUGCCCUCUGCUACAACAAUUGCCCCUGGGAGCUCCAACUCAGAGGCCACGACUUCUUUAGGAGAAAGUGGAAAAACAAGAGCUGAAACAAUCACAGGUACUACUGAGGGUAAAACUCUGGCAGCUGGAAGUGCCCACACAGAGGCCACAACUUUCUCAGGAGGCAGUGGGACCACCCGAGCAGGACCACCGGGCGGCACUUCUGGCACAUCAGGAGGAUAUGUCCCUGGAAGGGAAACAGAGCCCACAACUUCCAUUGAAGAAACUGGAACUUCCAGAACUAUAUUCAAAACUGUAGGCAUCACUUCAGCCCCAGGGAGGCAAGCAGGCACCUCUGUGGUGGCGCCUAGCACAACAGUUGCCCCUGGAAGUUUCAGCACAGCAGCCACAACUUCUCCUGGAGCAAGUGGAAUGACUGGGGUUAGAACCACUUCAAAGACUACAACUUCCCUAGGUGGAACUGGCACCACUAGAACUGAAAUAAAAUCAGGAGCCACCACUGGAACACCAGGAAUUAAGACAGAUAUCAUGGGAGAAUCUUCUAGAACGACCAUUCUAUCUGGAAGUUCUAACACAGAGGCCACAAAUUCCAUUGAAGAGACUGGUACUUCUGGAACUGGAUUCAAAACCGCAGGCAUCACUGCAGCACCAGGAAAGCAAGCAGGCACCUCUGGGGUGGCACCUGGCACAACAGUUGCCCCUGGAAGUUUCAGCACAGCAGCUACAACUUCUCCUGGAGCAAGUGGAGUGACUGGCACUGGACCCACUGCAGAGACCACAACUUUCCUAGGAGGAAGUAGCACCACUGGAGCAGAAAUAAAAUCAGGAGCCACCACUGGAGCACCAGGAAGUAAGACAGGCACAGCUAAAGUGCUCUCUGGUACGACAGUUGCCCCUGGGAGCUCCAACUCAGAGGCUACAACUUUCUCUGGAAUCACUGAAGCAGUAACAGUCCCAAGUAAAAAUGGAUCUAUGACCACUGCACUGGGGAGCCAACUCUCCAGCAGUCAAACAGUGAUUCCAGGUUCCAGUGGCAUCAUCUCUCACACAACUGUUGCACCUGGAAGUUCUGUUACAGGAACCACCACUGGUGCAUCAGAUGAUCAAGUCACUGGAAGUAAAACAGGCACUACUGGUGUGGCCUUAAGCACAACUGUUGCACCUGGAAGUUCCAGCACAGAAGCCACAACUUCCACAGGAGUCCAUAGAACCACUGUAGUGGGACGGAAGACAGGAGCUACCACUAGAGGGUCAGCAAAGCAAGGAACUAGAAGCACAAUAGAAGCUAUGACGUCCUUUAGAGGCACUGGGAUGACAGGAAGUGGAAUGAAUACAGGUACUACUGGAGUGGUCUCUGGCAACACCAUCUCACCUAGCAGUUUCAACACAGAAGCUACCAGUGGCACAUCUGAGAGGCCAAACCCUGGAAGUGAAAUAGGCACCACUGGCAUAGUCUCUGGCACAACAGUUGCACCUGGAAGUUCCAACACAGAAGCCACAACUUCUUUGGGCAAUGGUGGAACCACUGAGGCUGGAAGUAAAAUAGUUACCACUGGGAUAACUACUGGCACGACCAUUGUACCUGGGAGUUUCAACACAAAGGCUACGACUUCUACAGACUUUGGAGUUGCCACUGGAGUUGGAAUGGCAACUGGGAUCACCAACAUAAUUUCAGGGAGAAGCCAACCUACAGGAAGUAAAACAGGCUACACUGUAACAGGCUCUGGAACAACAGCCUUACCUGGAGGUUUCAGAACAGGCAAUACCCCAGGAUCAACGGGAGUCACCAGCAGCCAAGAAGGAACCACUGUGGUAUCAAGUGGAAUCACUGGAAUCCCAGAAACUUCCAUCUCAGGUCCUUCCAAGGAAGCAUCUGACAAAACCACUGCUCCUGGACCUCCUACUACAGUCACUGCUUCCACAGGAGUCAAAGAAACUUCUGAAACUGGAGUGCAAACAGGCUCUACCUUGGUUACAGCUGGAAUGACAACAAGACCACAAGUAUCCCAGCCAGAAACCACUGUCGUGGCAACCAGAGAAGUAGAAACUGAAAAUAAAACAGAAUGUCUAGCCUCACUUCCACCAGCUCCAGUUUGUCACGGUCCAUUGGGAGAAGAGAAAUCUCCUGGAGACAUAUGGACUGCCAGUUGCCACAGAUGUACCUGUACUGAUGCAAAGACUAUAGACUGUAAACCUGAGGAGUGCCCUUCUCCACCCACAUGCAAAACCGGCGAGAAGCUUGUGAAGUUCCAAUCUAAUGACACCUGCUGUGAAAUCGGAUACUGUGAACCAAGAACAUGUUUAUUUAACAAUACUGACUAUGAGAUUGGUGCUUCAUUCGAUGACCCCAGCAACCCCUGUGUCUCCUACUCCUGCAAAGACACUGGCUUUGCUGCAGUAGUCCAGGACUGCCCAAAGCAAACCUGGUGUGCAGAAGUAAACAGAAUCUAUGAUUCAAAAAAAUGUUGCUAUACAUGUAAGAAUAAUUGCAGAUCUUCCGUUGUAAAUGUGACUGUUAUCUACAGUGGUUGCAAGAAAAGAGUUCAGAUGGCAAAAUGCACAGGGGAAUGUGAAAAGACUGCCAAGUACAAUUAUGAUAUCUUACUCUUGGAACAUUCAUGCCUUUGCUGCCGAGAAGAAAACUAUGAACUCAGAGACAUUGUACUUGACUGUCCUGAUGGCAGUACAAUCCCUUACCAAUACAAGCAUAUCACGACCUGCUCUUGUUUAGACAUAUGCCAACCAUAUACGACCUUCAUGUACAGUUAAUGCUGACAUCACCUUCCCAGUUUUAACAGGCCUGGUAUUUAUUUUAUAAGUGAGGAAAAAUAAUCAUUUAAAAAGUGAGAAUAAACUAAACAAUGUGAGAAUAACUCAAAACAA
rnacentral:sRNA from 1 species